ACAUGCAAUUGAAUAUCCAAAGCUAUAAACCCUAGAUCCAGCAUACAAUUAAUCAUAUUAACAUAAAAUAGGGUUUAGAUCUAACCUUUGAUUGUUAUAUAGCAAUAACAAUCUAAUCAUUGGCUUCGGAAAGCUUAGUGCCUAAAGUGUUGCACCUCUAAUGGAGUCACAAACUUCGAUAAGCAACAAGAUGAAGAAGAGAAGAGGAAGGAGGCUCCAAAACGUCUAGGAAACCCUAAGGAUUCAGUCACCAUGUUUUUGGGGCUUAAGGGCUCUUUAAAUAGGUAGGCAAUUAGGGUUAUCUAACAAGGAAACCCUAAUUUGACUGCUUAAGCCCUAAGCAGCCCAUGGACCCCUUUUGGAACAUGCCUUGGACGAAAAUCAUAUGGGCCUCCCAUAGAUUUCCUCCAACCUACAUUCCAAGUUGAUCCAUAGUCCAAUUGUAAUUAUCUUAUAAUUACAAUUCUAAUCCCCUAAGUUUAAUUAAUCUCUUUUAGCCACAAAAUUAAUUCUUAAUCAAUUCUUGACUAAUAUUAAUUAAACAAUAUGAUUUCUCCUUUAAUAUAUUAUUCUUAUAAUAUAUUAAUAAAUCAUAAUUAAACCUUUCUCUCUUUAAUUCAUCCUACAAAUUGCUAUGGUGAAGGCAACCCAAAAGGACCAUGCUCAUAAUCGGGUCAAGUACAUACCAAAAUAGUUAUGGACUUAGACACUAAUCCAACAGUCUUCUACUUGGAUAAGUCUAAUAACUAUUUUGCAUAACUUUAGAACCUGAUCAACAAUCGUAGCUUUCAAAAGCCGCUGUCAACUCUGAUCUUAUCAGAUACGCGUGUCCUUCAGAUAAGGGAUCAUAUAUUCCUCAAUUUUCAAGAUAUCGUAUAGACACAAGACAUGAAUUUCGAUCAUUCUCUCUAUACUGUUUCCCGACUUCCGAUUUAUGACGACUGACAACAGACUACAAUUGAACACAUCAACUUAGUCCGCGCUUGGCCAAGCACUUUAUGUGUCAUCACUAAAUCAUCGAGGGGCCCACAAAUAUUGCUUUUAUCCCACUUUGGGUAAAAGGAAUGGAUAAACUUUGACUCAAAUGCUCGCUUGCUCUUACUCAUCAAAUCACAAACAACAAUAUGUUUUAUAACACCAAGUUACUGGUGCGUUUACAUGUUAUCGAUGUGCAAAUUACAACUCACACGUCUCGGUUUCAAGAAUAUACAAUGUCAUCGUCUCACAAUCACUCGUGAUAAAAAACCAUGAUGUGAUUCAAGUGAGCGUGGGUUUAAUCCAAUACUCUCAUCUUUUCAAAGCACUCAGGAAUUCUGCAGCAAACUUGUGCUAUUUCUAAAGGCUCUAGACAAUCUACAGACAGAUUCAUGACAGUCUUCCUUCAUACCUACUUCCAACGUAUGACAGACUGUGGAGUUUCAAAUAACCCAGUUAUUCUGGAAGUCAAAACAUGCAGAGUGAAACACAAUAAUAAUAUUUAAUCCUAUAUGGCCCCAAAGCUUUUGAGCGUAAAUAAAACACUUCAUUUAAACACCAUAUUGAUUACUCAUUAUUCAUUGUUUACUGUUUCAGAACAUCAACUUAUUACUUGAAUUACAACAAUAUUUGUCCCAUGCUCCGAGCAUGCACACUAUGUUUCCUAUGGUCCAUGCUUUGUGAAAUAGUUCAAUUGAAAACUUUUCCAGUGAUGCUCAUUUCACAAUUCCUAAUCUUCAACGAUAGUGUAAGAAUACAAGUUUCUUGCCACUACUAGAAUAUGUUACAUUCUAACAUUUUAUGCAACGAUCCUUUCGUAAAGUCAUAGCACAAAAGUCACCAAGACUUGGCCAAUGAAAAUACAAGGUUCUCUAUCAGAAAUUGUUACAAAACAAUUCUAUAGAUGUGAUGUCUCUCACUCAAAGUACAAUCCUUUGAACAUCCUUUUUGCAUAAAAUUUUCUAAUCUAGACAUAAAUUCUUAAUUUCCAACUCCCAAUAUGGAAACAUUUCCAUAUUUGUCAUACGACAACUCAUUCUUAAUAGAAUCUUAUCUAUUCACAAUAAUGUCGAUAUGGUCCAUCCAACACUAUACUUCCAACUACUCACAAGCAACAAAUCCUUGGCGAACCUUAGAUCAUCCUUUGAAAGUUGUCUAAUAACUUUAGUCAAAAACGGUUCUAGUCCCUUUUCCCUCUUAAUGCACUAAGCAUUUGGAAAAUUUUAGAACGAUCAAACAUUAUAGCAUAUGCAAUUGAUCCUAUACCCGAAGCGUAUGGGACAUGAUUCAUAAUGUCUUACAUAAAGACAUGAUACUUUACCAGUCUUUUGCUAUAAUAUUUCUAAUUGCCAUGUUCUCACAAUUUUGAUUAUGAAAAGGGAUGCCGUAAUCAUAACCAAAUUUUGAGAAUGCAAUUAUCCUUUCCAUAUAUAGAAUUUCCUCAUGUUGAAUCAUUCCAACACAACAUUCAUAUAUAUUUGACUAAAUUUGAUUAAAAUUCCACAAUCUAAGCUUUUAGAUUUGAAAUGAAGUAUAAUAUUUUCUCCCUUAAUUAUAGCAAAACAACUUUUCAACCCUUGCGACAUUGAAAAAUAUACCUCUUGUUUUCUAUAAUUAAUAUUGCUAACUUGCAAUAUUUACCGUAAUAAUCAUGCUCCCACUAACAUGAUGGUUAUUUCCUUAUUGGCAUAACACUUAUGCUCCCACUAGCUUUGACAUGUAUUCAGAAAACUGCUGAACUUCCAGAAAACAAUGCUUAUUGAAUUCCUUAAGUUCAUAUUAAUACUAGAUGCUUUGAUAAUCCUUUAUCUAAGCUUCUUAAACUCAUACACCUUUUCUUAGAUAGCUUAUGUGCAUCUAAACAAUUUUUAGAACUCAUGUUGCUAAGUCUCAAAAUGUUCAGACUAAUUACCAAAUCUCACAAUUCGAACUAUGAAGAGGGAUGUCGUAAUCAUAAUCGAAUUUGAGAAUACAAUUUUCACAAUUGCAAUCUUCUUAAAAUCUCUCUUAGUGAAAGCAUUGUUGGAUUAGUGUCUAAGCCCGUAACUAUAUUUGGUAUGUACUUGACCCGGUUGUGCAUGGUCCUUUUGGGUUGCCUUCUCCAAAGCAACUUGACAAGGUAAUUUAAGGAGAGAGAGAGAAUAUUAUGGUUUAUUGAUAUAUUAUAAGAAUAAUAUAUUAAAGGAGAAAUCAUAUUUAUUUAAUUAGUGUUAGUCAUAAAUUAAUUAGGAAUUAAUUUGGUGACUAAAAGAGAUUAAUUAAAUAAAAGGGUAUAAACUGUCAAAUGCAUGAUAGUUGAGUUUUGGGCUGGGGAACCUAAUGGAUUAAGGGGGAAAGAAAUUAUGAUGGGGAUCCAUCAUAUUUUCAUCCAAAGGCCCUAAUCUAGAAGGUUCUAUGGGCUUCUUGGUGAUUAAGAUGUCCAUUAGGUUUUAGGCUGAAACCCUAGCAGCGAACAGUAUAAAUAAGACCCCUAGGCUAUGGAAAUCGGCUACACAUGCUUCUAAGAGAACCCUAGGGCCGAUUUCUAGCAUCUCUCACCCUCUCUCAUAUUGCCUUCUUGCUUGUGGGGUUUGUGAACUAUUAGAGGAGUUAUAAUUGUGACUCUAAGCUCAAGAUCAAGAAGAUUACAAGGAUUCAAGCUACUUGAAAAGAGGUAAAUCACUUAGAUCUGUUUUCUUUAUGAUAAUUUUGAAUUAUAUAUGAUAGAUCUAGGUUUUUAAGUCUUGGAUUCAAAGCAUGUACAAUAGAGAAACCUAGAUCCAAGCAUUAGGGUUUGUAUGAGCACAUAUGAUUGUUCUUAUGCAUAAAACCCAUCAAGCAUUUCCUCACAAUCAUUUUCAUGAAGGAGAUAAACCUUAUGACACUUAGAUUUUAAAGUGUAUGUGUUCCUAUCCAUGUGAAUUUGUCAUAAAAACAAUCAUAAGACAAUGUUUGUGACAAAUCCAACUCAUAUGAGUUGAACUUGUUCAAUCUUGAUUUCUCGCCUUAUGGCAGCAUGAAUGCCCACCAUUGCUUCCAGGUUGUUAAGCAUCUCACCCUUACCUUAUCAAUGCACUUUCCAUUGAUCAGGGUGCCUUGCCUUUAUGCAAUCCACUUGAAAACUCAUAGAACUCAUAUUACAUAGUUGACUUAAUCUGGAAUGGCACAGAAACAAAAUUAUGUCAACACGAUAGGUCGCCAACCUCAAGUCGUGUGCUAUCGGUUUAUUCUUGAUUAGCUCUUGAAGUUUUCAAGACAAUUGAGACUCCCACUGACUUCUUGACAUAUAUGUUUCGCUUUGUCAAGGAACUUUUCUUGACAAAACAAAUAUUCAAGAGUUAGUGCGAAAUCCUAUCAAGACUAACACUUCAUUCAAUUGGUUCUUGUUGGUCUUUGUCUUCUGCAAGACAUCACAACUUACCAAUUUCAAAUGUGCAGGAACAAGAAGAAUUUUUCCAAUUCCACAUUUGUUGAGUGUUAUAAACCUACUAAAGACGUGUCACUCAAUUCACAAUCUUGGAGUAUGACUCUAAGACUCGAUAUUGGAACGAAGUAUGAUUGACUUCUUGAUUUAACCAUUUCCACAAUUCUCGAUUCCUCUUCUUAGACAUACAAAUGUACUAAGACUCACUAAGAGGAUCAAUUGAGAUAUGGUUCUUAAUCAUUAAGACUAUCAUAAAACAUGAUAAAAGGUACUCCUCCUUCUUCUUAGAUUAGAGAAACUUUUACCUUUCUGCCUACUAGAUCCUUCUUAUUCGUUCUGCUAUUGAUUGAAACUCUUUCAAUUAACUCAAAAUUAUACUCAAUCUUAUAAGUAUAACCAUAUUUACUAAACUUUAGUAAAUCACGACGAAUAUCUUUGUCACUCUUGUGGUAGACUUGAUCAACGUACGACCUAGUGUACUCGAUCUCCUAGUCCUUCAAUCGACACUUUGUCAAAGAAUUGGUCUAAAUUUCCCAAAUGUGACAGUUUUUCAUUCAUCAUACAAUACAUGUUGCAUGAUUCCAAGUUUCUAUCCAUUUGAAACUUGGGCAAUGAGAAACUCUCCCUAUUUGGUAAACUCUCGACACUUCCACAAAUAACAUAAUUAAGAAUCAAAUCCACAUUUUGCUAGUGAUAGAAAUACACAAACAUCAAUUUUUCAUACAUGCCAUUGUAAGGAUAAAUAAAUAAGAUAAAACUCAAAAUUUAUUUAUUGCGGAAAAACUUGUCCUUAAAAUGCAAUUCAACUGAAAAACUAUGUUAUUACAUAUUUCUUAGCAAUCUACCCUAACUCUUAAGUAGUAGCUCAAAAAUCCGAUCUUUGAAUCCAUGCGAUCGAAAUACAUUUCUUCGUGAUCAGAUUCGACACGCUUCUUCCUUAAGUUUCCUUUCUUUUCUUCGAUCCCACAAAACAUCAGAAUGUAAUCUUAUCAUAUCAUGUAUUAAGAAUCAAAAAUAGGAACUUAUAGAUUUAGUCAAUAGAUUUUACCUGAAGUAGAGCCGUACGUCUUGACCCUCCCAUCUCUUAGAUCUCUCAAGUAGCUAGGGCAGCUUCGUCUCUAAUGCCCCUUCUCUUGGCAGUAAAAGCAAAUGGACUCCUUUGGUACAUAGCAAGGGACAAUCUCAACCUUUUUUGGACUUCCAAUGUAGUUAAUGUCCAAUGAAGUAUGGGAGUUUGAUCGACCAAUCAAGUUUGCUUGACCAUUGCGCCAAAUCAUCGCUGAUUCAGCAGCAAUAAGCAAAUAGGUCAAAUCAAUGAGGGUCAAGUCAUGAACCAUCGUAUAGUACUCUCUUACGAGCUCACUAUACGAAUCAGGAAGUGAUUGAAGAACCCAGUUAACAACUAACAUCUCUGAGAUAUCGACAACCAACAUCCUUAACCUAUCAAUGCGUGACUUCAUCUCUAAGACGUGUGCACACACAGGUUUCCUAUCUUCAUGCUUACUUUCCAAUAUGGAUUGAGUGAGCUUGAACUUUUCAAGCCUUUGAACUUGUGGGUCAGGGAGAACAAUUGGAGGAGGUGGAGGAAGUGAAGCAUAAUCUCUUAUUCCUUGAUCGUAUCGUGGAACAUCAUCUUCAAAAGAUUCAGGAAGACCAUAGUUGUUUGACAUCUACAAAAUGGGAGAAAAAUCAUGUCAGUUGAUAAGAAUCCUUGAUGUAACACCCAAAUGAAACAUCAAGGCUAUGAUCCAACACAAUACUCUACAACCUAGAAGAGGGAUGUCGUAGUCUAGUUGCAGAAUAUUUGAAGGUAGGUAAAUGACAAUUUACCAAUUUCCACAAUGAAAAACGAAAAAGAAGUUUAAGUUUUAAAUGAAUUGAAACUCCUAGAUCUUUUUGAGAUUCAUUGAACUUUUCAAUGGCAUGUUUAAUCUCGAUUAUGCCAUUCAAGUUUGCGACUGGGAUGCUGAGGAUCACAAAUAAGGUUUGAAUAACCGUGCGAAUCACAUAGUGCACUCAAUGCUACUAUCACCUAAUCGAUGUGCUGGUUAGCCACACACGUUCCAUUGAUCUAUGAUAAACAUCGAGCCACCCUUCACCACCAAUGUCAAUCCCAAAUUAGUGUGUCGGUUAACCACACAUGCUCCACUAACGUUUGACAAGGGUACGAAGUGUAAUUCCAUGGAUUAGCAUAUAAUUUCACAUUUUGCCUAAAGUAACUAUGAUUUGGGAAUUUGUAAAAGCAUUUAGUUACUUGGUACUUCGUUAUACUUAUAAUGGAAGGUUUCGUCCUAUCCUACCUGUUCUGCUAACGACCCUCCACUAGUCAAGAGUGGGGUGGGUAAGAGUGGAUACCCAUUCAAUCGCCAUUUUAUAGGCAAUUUCCUUAAAAAACCUUUAUAGACCAGCUUCGUGAAUGAGGCCCACUAACGGUAAGACUGACUGUUUACUCAUACAUAUAUAUAAUAUUAGACUUUUAAUGUUAUAUAUAGUAUAUGGUGUAUUUUACACUUUUAAAAUACUAGGUGGUCUAAUUUAAUAAAUUAUGCUUUUAAUUUAAUUAAAUGUAAACCAAAAUUUUAUGGAUUUAUUAAAUCUCUUUUAAUUAUACGCCUUAAUUAAUUAAUAAAACCAUAAGGGUGUGAUUUGAACUUUUUAAAUCACUUGGGUUUUUAGAAUUUAAAAUUUCAAAUUAAGACUUUUAAUUAAAUUUUAAAAUCCAAAACUUGAGGGCAAGUUUUGAAACUUUUUCAAACUUAGGGUUUAGAAUUUAAAUAUUUCAAAAUUAACCUUUUAAUCAAAAUUUAAAUUCCAAAACUUGAGGACAAAUUUUGAAACUUUUCAAAACAUUAGGGUUUAACUAUUUAAAUUUCAAAGCCAAAACUUUUAAGUUCAAAUUUAAACUAUAAAACCUAAAGGGGGAAAAUGAAACUUUUUCACAAGAUAAUUCAAAUCUAAAUUACAAAUAAUCAAUCUUUAUCUAAUAAAACAAAAGAUUAUCUAAAAUUUGACAAUUAUCUUCUAUUUUGGUAAGGAUAAUCUCCAAAUAUUGAUCAAAAUCGGAUUUUAUUAAUAAAAAAAGUUUUAGGUAAUUAUCCACAGCCAAAACAGGUCAAAAUGCUGCGAAAUCAGGCAUCUGCGACUCUGACUCGUCGAGUCAGCACUGGACUUGUCGAGUUCCCAGUGGACUCGACGAGUUCAGCUAUGGACUCGGCGAGUCCAGCCCCAAGUAACCAAAAAUUUCGAUUUUAAGCAUUAAUAAUCAACUAUAACAUCAAAUACAUCAAACAAACAAACCUGGGUAUGAUACCACUGAUGGUUUUCGAGCAAUACAUCAUUCCUAUGGUGUACAUGCAAACCCUAAUAACUUUUGGAUCUAGUUUGUCUAAUGAACAUGCAAUUGAAUAUCCAAAGCUAUAAACCCUAGAUCUAGCAUACAAUUAAUCAUAUUAACAUAAAAUAGGGUUUAGAUCUAACCUUUGAUUGUUAUAUAGCAAUAACAAUCUAAUCCUUGGCUUCAGAAAGCUUAGUGCCUCAACUGUUGCACCUCUCAUGGAGUCAUAAACUCCACUAAGCAACAAGAUGAAGAAGAGAAGAGGAAGGAGGCUCCAAAACGUCCAGGAAACCCUAAGGAUUCAGUCACCACGUUUUUGGGGCUUAAGGGCUCUUUAAAUAGGUAGGCAAUUAGGGUUAUCUAACAAGGAAACCCUAAUUUGACUGCUUAAGCCC
rnacentral:lncRNA from 1 species